rnacentral:rRNA from 1 species
ACGGCUGAGUAACGCGUGGGUGACGUACCUAUCGGUGGGGAAUAACUGCCCGAAAGGGUGGCUAAUACCGCAUACGUCCACUGCUUCAGUGUGGUGGGGAAAACCGCAAGGUGCCGAUGGAGCGGCCCGCGUCCGAUUAGCUAGUUGGUGGGGUAACGGCCUACCAAGGCGACGAUCGGUAGCUGGUCUCAGAGGAUGAUCAGCCAGACUGGGACUGAGACACGGCCCAG